AGUGAACGCUGGCGGUAGGCCUAACACAUGCGAGUCGAACGGCAGCACAGUAAGAGCUUGCUCUUACGGGUGGCGAGUGGCGGACGGGUGAGGAAUACAUCGGAAUCUACUUUUUCGUGGGGGAUAACGUAGGGAAACUUACGCUAAUACCGCAUACGACCUACGGGUGAAAGCAGGGGAUCUUCGGACCUUGCGCGAUUGAAUGAGCCGAUGUCGGAUUAGCUAGUUGGCGGGGUAAAGGCCCACCAAGGCGACGAUCCGUAGCUGGUCUGAGAGGAUGAUCAGCCACACUGGAACUGAGACACGGUCCAGACUCCUACGGGAGGCAGCAGUGGGGAAUAUUGGACAAUGGGCGCAAGCCUGAUCCAGCCAUACCGCGUGGGUGAAGAAGGCCUUCGGGUUGUAAAGCCCUUUUGUUGGGAAAGAAAAGCAGUAGGUUAAUACCCCGCUGUUCUGACGGUACCCAAAGAAUAAGCACCGGCUAACUUCGUG
rnacentral:rRNA from 1 species